UUUAAUCAAAAUUAGAAUUAGUUGUUACUACACAGAGCCCUAGCGAAAAGCGAGUCUUCAUAGGGAAAUUGUCAUUGCUUAUGGACCCAAACUUGGGUGAUCCAUCUAUGAUUAGGGUGAAGCUUGGGUGAAACUAAGUGGAGGUCUGAAAACCGACUGAUGUUAAAGAAAUCAGCCGUUGAAUUGUGGUUAGGACUAAAAUGCCACCCGAACUCAGAACUAGCCGA
rnacentral:ncRNA from 1 species